UACGAAGGUGGCAAGCGUUGUUCGGAUUUACUGGGCGUACAGGGAGCGUAGGCGGUUGGAUAAGCCCUCCGUGAAAUCUCCAGGCUUAACCUGGAAAGUGCAGAGGGGACUGUUCAGCUAGAGGAUGGGAGAGGAGCGCGGAAUUCCCGGUGUAGCGGUGAAAUGCGUAGAGAUCGGGUGGAAGGCCGGUGGCGAAGGCGGCGCUCUGGAACAUUUCUGACGCUGAGGCUCGAAAGCGUGGGGAGCAAACAGG
rnacentral:rRNA from 1 species